rnacentral:lncRNA from 1 species
AUUUCCACAGGCUACUCUGGAAAAUACCAGUGCUUGGCAGGCGUGGUUCUAGACUGUUCUGCCACAGCGUUCAGUAGAGUAGUGACAAUCAACCUCCAGUUUGGAUUGUCCUAGUAUAAAAGUAGAAUAUAUUCUCGGGAAAAGCAAGCAUGCUAUCAGGUGUUCAUUCAACACAUAUUCAUGAGUCCCCAUAUGGGUUUAGGGAAAGAAAGUUUAACUACGCUGUAGGUUUCCCCCAAAGGGAAAGAGAGUAUUAAUCAAAUACUUAUAAGGUGAAAGCACUAUAAAUAAUGCUAUUAAAAUUCUUUGGGAUCUUAAGUAAGGGUAGAAAACUCCCUCUAAGCUGUUAAUGGUUUCACAGAGGAGGUGACAUUUAAAAGAGCCUUUCAGGAUACCUAGGAUUAUCACCAAAUACAGAAAGAGACAGGUGAAGUAGAGGCAUGGGCGUAUAGCACGUCUUAAAUACAGACUAUAUGUAAGAACGUGAAACUAUAACAGGGUAGCAUUUUGAAAAAUUAGAUUGUUACAUUCAAAAUAGGAUUUUGCCAACAGGCAAUAGUUUGAGAGAAUAAGGACUUUAAAAAUUAUUUUAGUUCUUAUUUAACAUUAAAGAUUGAGCCUGAUGGCUACCGUAGCUGCUUUUCUGAUUGUAUAGAAUAGGUAACUUUGAUCAUUGUUUCAGCUUAGCCAUGAGAAUGGAGUUUGGAAGAUGAAAGAUAUGGCCUGGAGGAAAGUAAAAGGUAUCUUAAUUUGGGGGAUUACUGGGAGGCACUGUGAGAGUUGGAGGACUGAGAACAAAGAUAAAGGUUGGAAGAUACUGGGGUCCCUCCACCAUGCUCCCCAGUACACACUCAAGGCUGAGCUGGUGGGGAGAGAAUGCUUUUGAAAUACUGGAGAAGAUAUGGAACUCCAAGAACCAGGGAGCUUUGGUUCUGUUCCAGAAGGAAAGAACUUGUAGGCUGCCUCCAAGUCAGUUGAGGGACAUUUCCAUAUUACAAAUAAACAUGGUAGCAGAGGGUGAUUAAGCAGAAGGGGACUGUAUUAUUCUUUAUAGAACAUUCUUGAUUCCUGUGUAAUGUGGAUGGAGGAAGCUGUUGUGGUGGGAAUGAGGAACUCUACAGCAAAUGCACUGGGUUGUGCCAUCUGGUAAGGGACCAAGUGACUAAUGUAGUCAGACCUCAGUGUACGGUCAGGGUCCAAAGAGUGGUCAGAGCUAAGAGGAGCCUGAGUUGUCCAAGAAACUUUAUAAAGUCAGCAGAGACCAGGCCGACAGAUCAUUGGCAAGAACACUCUAGGGAUCUAAGGACCACCUUUCCCAACUCCUGAAAAGCACUGAGAAAGACACCAACAUCCAGUGCCAACCCCUUUUUCCCUUGCCAUUAGUGAGGUUGAAAAAGCCGGAUAAUCACUUUCGAUUCGUCGCUUACCGACUGGGGUGAAUAUUUGACCGAGUAUUGAUCGAUGAGCUAUAAGUGGAAUUUGCUGGGGAUGGCUUUUGUAUGAUGAUUUUUUAUCUGGAUAAGAUAGGGAUAUGGCCGGGAACACGCUCCUGAAGCUUCCUUUCUUUGUCCACGAAGCUAGAAAUCUGAGGAAAAUGCCACUAUGCUAAGCGUGUGGAGUGAAAACCAGAAAGAGCCUCUCAUCCGUGUUAGCACAGAACAGAUAAACUAACAAUAGCACUUACUUAUCUUUGGAUUUUUUUUUGUCAUGGAAAAACAAACUCCUAUAUAUUUAGGCCACAGUUAAUCAUCUGAUCUAUAAUUUUCAGCCUUUUCAUCAAAAGUUUAUCUAAAAUUUUACUGUCUGAUAGUCAUGUAAGUUUAUUGAGAGUCUAUCUAAUGAAUGGUGAGCAAGGUCCUACCCUAAUCUCAUAUAUAUAGAUGUCUAGAAGACAGAUGUCUCUGCUGGAGUCAUCUAAGCCAAGACUCGGUUAUCUAAGAGUGAUUGAAGCAAGCUGAAGAUUUCAACUUUUUUUCUCUCCAAAAUAAAUCAUAUUUCCCACUACUCUACAAAUUGUAAUAUGGGUAAAUUGCUAGCCCUAUCACACAAUGUUUAGAAAUUAUGAGAUUCAGUGAGCUGGAAAAAUAUUUCUUUUAGUGUCAGGAGUUGAACUGGAGGAGAAUGAGAUAGGAAGGUUAAGUGGCAGCCAGAUUGUGAAGAAACUUGUAUGCUGCAAUUUAAACACGGAUUUUGAAAAGAAUAUAUAUAUAAAACUGAAUAACUUUGCUGUACACCUGAAACUGACACAUUGUAAAUAACUGUAUUUCCAUAAAAAUUUUUGAAAAAUGAUUUAAAAUUAAAAUUUUAAAAAUGGACUCUGACUUGUAGGUCAUUGGGACUCAUGGAAAAGUUUAAAAUAGGAGAUUAAUACCAAAUGAGUAUUUUAGGAGGAUUGUUUUGGUAACGAUGUAGAAGGAAGAUUGGAGGGGACAUAGAACAGGGACAAUGAGAAUUAUAAAGAAGAUAAUGUAGUUACAUGUUAACUUCAUACCUGGAAUAUGGUUAUUGAUACUUGUUGAAAGAAUUUAACCUUUAGUUCUGGAUUUGCCUAAAAUUGUCAACAUAUUAAAUAUCAGAUAUAGAUGACAAAAACUCGAGAUUUAAGUCUUUGUUUAAAAUUAUUUUAAUAUAAUCAAAAUAUUUGCUAAUAACACUUCUUUUUCAUGACUAAAUAAAAGCAAACAACUGUUAGAUUUUUUAAUUGCAUUUUAUGUGAACUUGCAUGUAUUAGCUUCAUCUCAGCAGGUGCACAAGAACUGUUUAAUGACUGACAGGCUGAAUUGAAUUCAACAACUCUUUACUGUAUUCAUUGCAUUUUCAAACAGUUUUUCUAACAUCUUGCCUAUGGAUUUGGCCACUAUAACACCCAGCUUUUCUGAGGCAAAUACAGUUUCCAAUUUUGUGUCCUAAUCUCAUAAACAUACUUUUCCUUGUCAAAUCACAGGUUUCAAUCUUUGUUUCAGAAAUGUUAGUCCGUAUUCUUAUACUUUAAUAAACCUAAGAAAUGUCACAAAUG